GGGGGGGGUGGGGAAAGGAAAUUAAGAAUACAUACUGUAGAGUUUGACUAUUCUUAAAAUUUGAAAGUUGAAGUUAUCAUAUACAAAGGGCAACAUUUUGUAGGGAGGCUCUGGUUUUUGAAUCCCAUCUAUCUAUAGAUGUAUUAUUUAUGAAUAGCUUUCCACUGAGAUGGCCCAAGUUUUGUCUGGAAAUAGCAUCUUGCCAUUACCUUGUACUUCUCAGCUGUCUUAAGGAUCAGUGAGCAAAUAUAACUGUCAAACAUACAAGCUCCCCAGAGUAUUGAGGUACAUAAUAUUAUCAGCCAUGAUUUUGGCCAUUAACAUAAAAUUCUGGGGAACAUGCUUUUUUGUUUGUUUGUUUCUUUGUGUGUUUGUUUCCCAAUGGCGUGUAAAAAUGAAAUAUCAGGGUAAAAAUGUACUGAUUCACCAGGUUGAAAUCUCUCAGAAGCUGAGACAUAUUUCCAAUGGUUUCCCACAUAACUAUUUUAGACCAAAAUAUUUCUCCAGAUUGGACUUGUGCCUAAUCAUACAAUCAGAUUGCUUCAACCACCCAGAUGCUUAUGGGCAAAAAUAAUAACUCCACAUUAAGUUAUUAUUAGCUUCUUCUGUCUGAAUCAUGGCUAAGUUCUCUUUGUCUUCAGAAGUGAUAUUGGCAUAAUCAAAUUACAAUCCAUUUGAAUAUUUUCUUCCCAGCUUGUGCCCCUCUUAGCAGCUCUCAGUUAGAAAGACUCUCAUAAAUGAACGAAGCAUCCUUUCUUAAGCUUAGUCAGUUCACCCAUAGAACUUGAAACUUUCAGGAAGUCUGACCUACUGUAUAUGUUAUGGUAACAAGCUUUUUACUUAAAAAACAUUGGUAUUGGAUAUAGCUACUAUUAUUUUAGGUCUAAGGUUGUAACACUGAAGCUAAUCACCCCGGAGGAUGAGAGAUUCUGAAACAGUGAGAAUUACCUGUUACACAAGGUAUCUCAGUCAGGAUGGUCAAGUCAUUUGUGUAAGUUGGCAGUGCCCUUUAUCUUUAGAGCAUGACGUACAGGGACCACCGUAUAAAGGUGAAGUGUGUGUGCAUAUUUAAUUGGAGUGAUCAUUUGGGAAGUUUUCUUUCACUUGGUUUUAAAUAAGCUUCCAGUCUUAAGGUAACAAUUCUAAGCCACAUAAAAUCCUCUCUGUUCUGUAUCUGGACAGAAUACAGAUACGUUAAUUUGAAAUAUAGCUGUUCCAUUAUUCAGAAGGUAUGAAUCGGGUCUUACUUUUAAAGGCAGAAUUUGUGUUUUUCCAGACUAGCAGUUCAGGUUUAACAUGAGUUACUGGCCUAAUUAACUCUUUUGUGAAGUAGCUCUUUGAGGAAAUUGGGCCAAAUUAAACCCAAUUAAACUGUGAUCUUUGUUUUGUCAGUUUCCCUUCUUCCCCUAGUCCCCCCUACCCACCCCCCUUCCUGAUGCCCCUGCUUUCAAGAGUCCUGUCUCAGCCCACACUUCUUCCAGGCCUUAUGUCCAUCCAGCUAUUCAGUGAAUCUCCAAGUAAGUUUGAAUCUGAUAACUGUUUAAACAACAUCAAAGAAAUAUCACCAGUGGUGGGAUUUCAGGCAGAUGAUAGGCAGUUGGACCCAGGCGGUGUGCUGGGAAAGAAUCUGAAAUGAGGUUUAUGAAUCUACCUGCCACCUCUUAGGUUCUAAGUGUCAGAGAUGAAGGAUGUUGAGGACACCCCAUCACUCCUGUGUCUGCCUGCCACAAACUUUUCCAGACCAACCCCCAACCAAUGCCCUUAAAAUAGAAAGGCCAGAACUAUUGGCUCACUCUGACCUAGCAUUCUUGUGUCAAUAAAAUAUUAACAACUAUAAAUAACCUAAAAGGCCGUGACUGGGAAAAAUGGCAAAGCACAAGUUCAUUCUUCAGUGACAGAGAAGAGUAACAUUUUAAAUCAGAUUGAAGCACUGACAGUAUUUAAUGAAAUGUUUCUAAGCAACAAGGUAGAAGAAUCAAAGAGCUUCAAUAGACCUAACAGUCAUAGAAUAAAAAGGAAUCCAAAAAUAGUCUCACUUUCUUGUAAGCAAUUCAGUCUGGAAGGUAAAACAAACUCGUUCCCAAAACUCAGCCUAUUGAACAAUCUUCUCUUUCUAAACAUCCCAUGUAUGGUUUCAGCAUGGUAUAACCAUGUUAGUAGCCAAGUUUUAAUAUGCAUGAAAACCUUGGAGAGUAAAUACUGGGGAACAGCAAUGAUUUAAAUGCCCUGGACAUGAGAUACACCCUCUUCAACCCUUGUUAUCAAGAUAACUUACAAAUAAAAAGGAACACUCAGUACUCUCUCUUAUAUGGACUUUAGGCCCAUCUAAGUGGAAGUUUUGAUAUUCCAUUGCUAAUGACACCCUUGCUUUGUCAGCAAGAAAGACUUUCUAAAGAAAAUUUUCAAUGUCUAUAAUAGACCCAAAUAAGUACUUAGUAGAUUCAAGUUUAGAAGAGAAUAUGCCAUCUUUUCAUGUCAUCUUAAUGCCACAAAAGCAAGAAUGCUUUAAUACUUGUAGAGCCAUUUUCCCACAACUGUGUCUUUGAAAUGACAGCUUAGAAAUCCACGAAUAUUCUCAUAGCUUCCUCAAGAGAUGGCUACAGUGUGUGUGAAUGUCUAGUCUGUGCAGAAGGCUUGUGGCAUACAAAUGGGUAUUCUUGGCUCACUUUUACUCUGCACCAGAAAACAUGUAUAAUGGGCUCAAGAAAGAGAAAAAGGAGGCUGCUUUUCUGGCUGUUGGUCUGGUUGACAAACUAGUACUAGGUGCUUUGAUGUCUCUGUUUCUGCUGCCACUGGAGUUUGGUACAGGAAGUCAGGUAGGGGACCACGCAGGUCAUUUCACUAGAGAGAAAGGCAUUUAGUGAAAUCCAUCCAUCCAUCCUUCCAUCCAUCCAUCCCUCCAUCCAUGCAGGAAGCAUAGUUUUUAGAGUCAUUUAUUUAAUUAACCACUUUUUAGAAAACUCGCCAAAAAUAUGCGUUUGGGGUUUUUUUAUUUUGUUUUGUUUUUUCCUUUUGUGAUUGGUUUAUUUCACUUAGCCUGUGUCUUCAAGUUUCAUCCAUGUUGCAGCAUGUAUCAGAAUUUUCUUCCUUUUUAAGGCUGAAUAAUUGUGUAGACUUUUUUUUAUUGAAGUCUAAUUGAUUUACAAUGUUUCAAAUGUACAGCAAAGUGAUUCAGUUAUAUAUAUUUAUUCUUUUACAGAUCCUUUUCCAUCGUAGGUUAUUACAAGAUAUUGAACAUAGUUCCUUGUGCUAUGCAGUAGGUCCUUGUUGUUUAUCUAUUUUAUAUAUAGUAGUGUGUAUCUGUUAAACCCAAAUUCCCAAUUUAUCACCCCCUUCCCCUUUGGUAACCAUAAGUUUGUUUUCCAAGUCUGUGAGUCUGUUUCUGUUUUAUAAAUAAUUCAUUCGUAUUAUUUUAUAGAUUCCACAUAUAAGCAAUACCAUAUAUUUGUCUUUCUCUGUCUGACUUACUUCACUUAGUAUGAUAAUCUCUAGGUUCAUCCAUGUUGCUGCAAAUGGCAUCAUUUCAUUCUUUUUUAUGGCUGAGUAGUAUUCCAUUGUGUAUGUAUGUACCACAUCUUCUUUAUCCAUUCAUCUGUCAAUGGACAUUUAGGUUGUUUCCAUGUCUUGGCUAUUGUAAAUAGUGCUGCUGUGAACCUUGGGGUGCAUGUGUCUUUUUGAAUUAGGGUUUUCUCUGGAUAUAUGUCCAGCAGUGGGAUUCUUGGAUCAUAUGGUAGCUCUAUUUUUAGUUUUUUAAGGAACCUCCAUACUGUUCUCCAUAGCGGCUGCACCAAUUUACAUUCCCACCAACAGUGCAAGAGGGUUCCCUUUUCUCCACACCCUCUCCAGCAUUUAUUGUUUGUAGAUGUUUUGAUGAUGGCCAUUCUGACCGGUGUGAGGUGAUACCUCAUCGUAGUUUUGAUUUGCAUUUCUCUAAUGAUUAGUGAUGUGGAGCAUCUUUUCAUGUGCCUCUUGGCCAUCUGUAUGUCUUCUUUGGAGAAAUGGCUAUUUAGACCUUCUGACCAUUUUUUGAUUGUGUUGUUUGUUUGUUUGUUUUGAUAUUGAGGUGUAUAUGCCGUUCAUGUAUUUUAUAAAUUAAUCCCUUGUCAGUCUCAUCAUUUGCAAAUAUCUUCUCCCAGUGUAUAGGUGUCUUUUCAUUUUGUUUAUGGUUUCCUUUGCUGUGCAGCAAAACUACAUAUGUUGUGUGUCCACUGAAGCUCACCAGAGGUGACUCAUGAGACUGAGGGCACACAGCUCUGGUCCCAGCCUCGUGAUCACACACCUCCUGUCAAAACAACCCUGACUUCCCUCCCAGGUCAUGCCUUUAGACUCUGUAUACAAAUUCUAGAACUGUUGAUUUGAUCCUUUAAACUACCUUCAGUUUCAAAAUGAUCCACUUCACCUGCCCUGGUCCUUUUGCAUGAGUCUGCUUGGAGGACGUUUUUGAGCCAAGGGCUUGAUAUUAUGGUUCUUGUUGUUUUUAUUAUUCCUACCACUUCCUAAUAUAUCUCAGUGAACGUGUAAAGUCAUCACAAAGUAAACGGUCUAAACUUUUUAUAGAAGAUGAUGAGAUUAGCACAAUGUCCAUUUAAAAGCGCUUCCCCAGAACCCGGAAUUGAGCUGCCAGCUGCUCCCACCGUUUUCCUGAGGUCACAGUGUACCUCCACCACUUUCUUAAGCAUUGUGCAUCUUAGGUUCUAUACUAAGUACCUGAGGGAUGAUAACAUCGUGGUGUUUUCAUUCAGACCUUCUGCCCAUGUGAUGCUGUCUGUCCUGAUGUCAGCAUGUGCAUCUAAGUGGUACCACACGGCACAGCAAAGCAUUAGGUCAACCACAGCUCAGGGCGGUAAAAACAGUGCUGAGUUGAUGGGGAAAUUAAACUGCCGUAAUAUAUUGCAUUUUAUCUUUGCAAGUCAAAUCACAGAAUAUGCUUGGCCUUGUUCUAGAUUAGCCUUAAAACAUCCCAGGUAGGUUAAGACCUCGCCUGGGAGACCCUGCCCCUGACCCCGUGGGGUAGCCCCAUUGCUGGUUUCUUCCAGAGUCUAGACUCUUACGUCGUCAUUGGAGAGAUCAGAAGAGAUGCUGGACCAGAAAGUACUCUCUUCGGGCCCGCGAGCUUUAGGGAACAGGGAAGAACGCUGAAUGGGGAAGCAAGAGACUUGUCUAUCUGGACCAGCCCAGAACCAGCCGUGUGAGCUGUGUGCGCACAGUUUAGAUCACAUUCCUUGCCGUUUCAGGUGGCCCUAAAGGGCUUCUCGUCUCCACACAGAUCAGUCUCCCGGGGUGGCCUUCAGUUUCAGCCUCUGUUCUGCCCCAGCUGUCUGAGGGGUGGCCCCGUGCAGGGGUCAGGUGUCUAGACCCUGUGGUCAGGCUACCUGCUUUGAAUCCUAGGUGUGCCCCUGGCCAGCUGAGCAGGUAACCCCACCUCUCUGGACCUCAGCUUCCCCAUCUGUCAGCGAGGUAGUAACAGGAGUCGCCUUGUAGGGUGGUGGUUAGGAUCAAGUGAGUGGAAACGGCCCUGUCCUUGGUGCCCACAGGGAGUAUGUGCUAGGUGUUUGCUAAAGAACAGCUGUCCCUUCACUUUCAAGCCUGACUUUAAACCCACGUGCUCCACGGCACUUUCCCGAGGCGAUGCACCUGGUUUAAGGAUCAGUGAGCAAUGGUUGAGUUGGGUUAGCAGUUCCGACACUUGAUGUAUCCAGAGAAUGGGAGAGCAGUGAGACUGAUUUUCCUCUGAUGCUUGAUCUGUUCGUGGUCCCCCGCUUGGAUUCCUCCUUCUCCUACCUCUGUGUCCCCAUGGGUGUGUGAGCCUGGGAUGCUGUUCUUGACACCCUCGCCACUUCUCCUGGCAAACUUCCACUCCUCAGGAUGCAGCCCAAACGUCACCUCUUCCGUGAAGCCUUCCCUGACUCCCCAGCUAGGAAGGUGCUCUCUUCACAGCAGUUUUUUUUCUGUUUGUUUUGUUUUUGCGGUACGCGGGCCUCUCACCGCCGCGGCCUCUCCCGUUGCGGGGCACAGGCUCCGGACGCGCAGGCUCAGCAGCCAUGGCUCACGGGCCCAGCCGCUCCAUGGCACGUGGGAUCUUCCCGGACCGGGGCAUGAGCCCAUGUCCCCUGCAUCGGCAGGCGGACUCUCAACCACUGCACCACCAGGGAAGCCCCACAGCAGUUUUUAUAAAUGGCCACAGAAUUCUUCGACAUUCCCCGCACUGAGAGUUUGGGUCCACGUCCCUCCUCUUGCUUCUGGGCGGGCUUCAUCCAACAGAAUCUGUGGCAGGAGAGACACUGGUGUCUUAUGAGGCGGGGCCCUGAAAGACAAUGUGGCUUCCACCCUGUUGGCUGGAACUCAUCCCCUUGGAGCUGUGAGGAAGCCUAGCUCCUUGCAGAGGCCACGUGUACACACCUGGUGGGCAGACCUGGUCAUCCUGUUUCCAGGUGGGAUCCCUCCUCCAUGCUCCAUGCCUCUCCAAAUCCCUAACCCACCGAAUCUGUGAGAAUAAUACGAUGGUUGCCUUAUGCCGCUAAGUCCUGGGCUAAUUUAUUAUCAUCCAGCAAAAGGGACUGGAGCAACUUUCUGUGAGUCCCAAAGGCUUUGUAUAUUCCAAUGUUACAGCACUCAACAGCCCUGCAGAAUCCUCGUCACUGGAUUGCAGGCUCCCCAAAGCCUUUACUCAUCUUUCUGUUCCUGGUACCAAGCACGGUGCCUGGAACUUGGGAGAUACUCAAGAUGCAUGUUGAAUAAACUAUUCCUUAGAGGGUACAGACGUCAAAAAAAGUUACAUUAAUUUGUAAUCAAAUUAUUGUAUAUAACUUAUAUUUAUAAUCACUGGAAGGUUUUGCCCAGUGCCUGAAACUCUGAGUUCUCAAAAGCACACGCACUGCAUGCAGAGCUGUGUCUGCGCAUCCGUGUGGCACAUGUGAACGUCACACACAUCGUGAGUGUUGGUUCCCCUGGACUCCCCCCACCCCUGCCUUGCCAGCACCUGGGUAUUUACUGGGCUUUUCUCUAACCUAGACCAGCUUAGAGAAACGCUUCCUCCUUCCUGCCUGAGCUCAAAGCCCUCCUUGAAGCCGUCACACUGAACUAGCCCAGAACACGGCCGAGAGCUGGCCGUGGCGUCUGACGUCACGUUCUCAGCAGACUCCUCCACGGUGGGCUGAGUACACACCCCUCCCGUAGCAGGGCUCACACAGCGUUCCGUCUUUCUGUGCAGUUUAGUAAGCCAAGAAAGUACAGAGCUGCUGUUGUCACUGCCAGCUUCAGCUGACUAUUUAUAGACGCGUGUUCUGUGCUCUCAUAGAAACGUAGCACAUCCAUGUAUAUUCACACCAAGUUUUUGUCGGGUUAGCAGCUGAGCUGGUUCGACUCUGCAGCUUAGAACUCGGGGCGCUGCGUCGGGAGCCGCUGUUCACUUGCUCCUCCGUGCUGUGCCCGGGAGGAAUCCCUGCCAGCCCCGCUCAGUGCCAAGCAGGAGACUCGUGCUGGCUUCAUUAAUUUUGUUGGAUUUGAGGUACAUCUUUGAUGCAGCAUCUACUUGCAACCCAAGUUUGCCACUUCUCCAGUGUCUAAUCCUGUGACUAGAAUUGCAAGAAGCCACACUGUGCGUUCUCCCAUUCUGGGACCUGGGCAGACUGGUGAAAUCUCACAGUGACUCUGCACCUUCUGCUUGGAGGUGAUACACAACUGGUUCUUGCACAUGCCGUUGACCAAAGCACAUUACGUGGCCAAGUCCAAAGUCUGCGGCGGUGGGGAUAUCUGGUCCUCUUCCAGGGACAGAUGUAAGUAACUGCAGAUGUUGUCUCUUGGUGCUGGGCUGGUACCUUUAAGAUGACGUGAGGAGCCAUAUGCCUUGUAUCCCUCUCACUUGGGGUAAGAACUAAGCUUUUUUCACAUUUCUUAUUUAUUUUCUUUUAAACCAAUUUUUUUUAAAACAGCUUUAUUAUUGAAUAAGCUUUUUUUUUUCUUUCUUUCUUAGCCAUGCAGCAUGUGGGAUCUUAGUUACCUGACCAGGGAUCAAACCCAUGCCCUCUGCACUGGCAGCUCAGGUUCUUAACCACUGGACCACCAGGGAAGUCCCCACAUUUUUUAAAAUUCAGGUAUAAUUGACAGGUAGAACAUUCGGGUAUAAUUCAGGUAGAACAUUGUGUUAGUUUCAGGUGUACAGCCUAAUGAUUCGCUAUUCAUAUACAGCGUGAAAUGGUGGCCGCAGUUAAGUGUAGCUAACAUCCAUCAUCUCACAGUUACAGAAUUUGUUUCUUGUGAUGAGAACCUUUAAGGUGUACUCUCUCAGCAACUUUCAAAUAUGCAGCACAGUUUAUUUACUGUAGACACCAUGCUGUGCAUUACAUCCCAGGACUUAGUUACUUUAUAACUGGAAGUUUGUACCUUUUGACCCCCUCCACCCAUUUCACCUACCCCUGCCUCUGGAGACCACCAGUCUCAUUAAGAACUAGGUUUUCGGGCUUCUCUGGUGGUGCAGUGGUUAAGAAUCCACCUGCCAAUGCAGGGGACAUGGGUUCGAUCCCUGGUCCGGGAAGAUCCCACAUACUGCAGAGUGACUAAGUCCAUGUGCCACAACUACUGAGCCCACAUGCCACAACUACUGAAGCCCACGCUCUUACAGCCUGUGUUCCACAACAAGAGAAGCCACCGCAGGUAUGAUGAACUGGGAGAUUGGGAUUGACAAAUACACACUAAUAUCUAUAAAAUGGAUAACUAAUCAGAACCUGCUGUAUAAAAGAUUAAAAUUAAAUUAAAAAAAAAAAGAGAAGCCACUGCAAUGAGAAGCCUGUGCACCACAACGAAGUGUAGCCCCUGCUCACCACAACUAAAGCCCACAUGCAGCAACAAAGACCCAACACAGCCAAAAAUAAAAUUAAAAUAAAUAAAAAAUAAAUAAAUUUAUUUUUUAAAAAAGAAGUAGGUUUUCAUCAUCUGGUAUCCUCCAUGUGUGUCUUAUAUUUUGAGAAACUGGAGUAUUUAGAGAUUUUAAAAUACUGUAAGUUGCUUAAUGUAGGACAUAUUAGUUAAUCUUUCAAUGAAGCCCUUUCAUGUUGGACAAGCAGUGCGUUUAAUAAACGUUUAUUAUGUGUCAAGGAAAACUUCCUAUUUCCCCAAGGAGAGCCCAAAGCAGCCACGUAGAGUCCAGCUCAGUAGCCUGACUGAGUCCUUAGUGGGGUUUUAACAGCCGCAGUCCAGGUUUUCAAGCAGAAUGGGAUUUCAUACAGGAUACUGGGCACCUCCAAAAUCACAGCCGAGUGCAGGAGUAGCUGGAGAGCUGCUACCAGACUUACCUCCAUAGGUGAGAUUCAGAGACCAGAGGCUGAUCCUGCUGUCACCUCCACUCCCAGCACAGACGCCUCCCAUCCUCACUGGACUGAGGGCUACACACUGGGAUGCUGAGUCCAGCCGUAAACCCCCGCGCCUCCCUGACCCAGCGCGGCAGCUGUCUCAGCAGCACAGAGAGGACCUCUGCUCCUCUUCACCUUCCACGAUGGGUCUCACGCUGCAGUGUGUUCACUUCCAGAACCCUAGCUGCAAGGGAGUCGGGAAAAUUCUGGUUCUGGCUUUCCGGCUUUCUGGGGUUUAGAAAGGUGAACGCCAGGAUGAGAGCACAUGCUGAGGGCCUUCUACCAGGGGCAGCCCACUCACAAGGCUACCUGAGCCCUCUAGCCCAGCAGUUGUGGAACCUUCCAUCUGCCACCUGCACUCUACUAUGGGGGAUAGUGGCUCAAGAUUUCAUCAUAGACAUGGAGAUGAACUCACAACAUUGCUGUAUGAAAUCCAUGGUUGUACUGAGACAUAACAUAGGUGGUAAUCGAUGUCGUUUAUUAAAUUGCAGUACUGCUAGGGCUGUGUAGGAACUCAGACUAAUUUUUUUUUUUUUUUUUUGCGGUACGCGGGCCUCUCAUUGUUGUGGCCUCUCCCAUUGCGGAGCACAGGCUCCGGACGUACAGGCUUAGCGGCCAUGGCUCAUGGGCCCAGCUGCUCUGCGGCAUGCGGGAUCUUCCCGGACUGGGGCAUGAACCUGCGUCCCCUGCAUCGUCAGGUGGACUCUCAACCACUGCGCCACCAGGGAAGCCCUCGGACUAAUUUUUUUUUUUUUAAGAAGAUGUUGAGGGUAGGAGUUUAUUAAUUUUUUUUUUUUUUUGCUGUGUUGGGUCUUCAUUUCUGUGCGAGGGCUUUCUCUAGUUGUGGCAAGUGGGGGCCACUCUUCAUCGCGGUGCGCAGGCCUCUCACUGUUGUGGCCUCUCCCGUUGCAGAGCACAGGCUCCAGAUGCACAGGCUCAGUAGUUGUGGCUCACGGGCCUAGUUGCUCCGCAGCAUGUGGGAUCCUUGCAGACCAGGGCUCGAACCCGUGUCCCCUGCAUUAGCAGGCAGAUUCUCAACCACUGUGCCACCAGGAAAGCCCCCUCGGACUAAUUUUUGAGGCUAAAAUAGGACUCUGAAAAUAGCCUUGCUUUACUGUCAUGCAUCAGGGCUGAAGUGAUGGUGGCAGACAAGUAGGUAAAGGGGGGCAGGAAGGCGAGAGAUUGGGCGUCAACUGAGAAACAUGAGAAGCUCCAUCUGCUCCCAGAAGGGGUGAGGCUGAGUCUCGUUCGGCUGUGAGGGCACAGAAUUCUAUGCGGGAAGGUACUGGAUUUCUCACGCUUCUCUGAGUGAUGCUACCCGGCUGAGAACUGGAGUUUGCAAGCUGACCAACGUCAGCAGGAAGCAGAAUGGCAGGCCUUUCCUUUGGAACAUGCGUCCAUAAUUGCAGUUCACUUUAAAGAUAUUUUCAUGCUGAAAUACUAAGCCAAUGUUGAAGGAACUUCUGCAUCUCAAACGACUCAUCCUGAGCACACAACCACCUUCACUGUUUCGUGUUCUCCUUGGGUCUUCAGUCCUGGGCUCCUGCCAUGAUCAGGCAUGGUGCUGGGUUCUAGGACAUAGGGGUGAGUGGGAAAGACACAGAACUUAGAACAGAUUCUAGUGGCAGAGUGAGACCGUGAACAAGCAGUGAACAAAUAAGAAUCGGUGUGUCCAGGUGCUCUCAAGAAACAAAAGGGGGCAGAGGACCCCUUUAUACUGGAAGGACUGGGAUGGCCUCUCUGAGGGCGAUUACAGCCCCAAGGUGUAUAUAUGAUUAACUAUUGGGAAUCCAAGUUUUCCACAUUGAAUUAGAAAAUGCUCUGCAUAUUGCUUAGAUUUAUUUUUUUCCUUAAAAUAGUAUUAAUAAAAUAUCCUCAUUGCUUAUGACUUUGGGCCUAAAUCCAAUUUUAGGUAACAGGCCAGGAACUAUAUCAAUAUAUUUAUACAAUACUCUAUUACAAUUUGUCAUACAUUGAAUUAACUCUUAUUUUAUCUACUUAAAAUAGGCAUAGUUCAAUGUAGGAUUCAUGUUAUAAAAAUAAAAACGUAUGCAAAAUAAGGUAACACUGUAUACCACAAGAUUUUCCUGGAAGAACAUGAUAGCUUUAGUGCAAAACCCCAUGCCUGUCAGACCAUGAUAAAAUACACUGUAGUGCACUACAGUUCAACCAUUAGAACAUAGAAAUUAGCACUCUUACUUUCCCCCAUCUUUGACCCCUGUUGUGCUCCAGGUUUCUACGGCUGCAUGCCAAAAUUUACUGUCUUAAUGGAUAAACAAAAUGUGGUAUAUCCAUACAAGGGCAUACGCUUGCUGGGUUUCCUCCCUUCCUAGGGUUUAGCAGGGUUGGGUCUGCAGGAAGGCACUCAAGGUCACCACCCACCCCAGUGUGAGUGUACCCAAGGGUAACACUCCUGACAGCUCCCAAUGUUUGGAAUUGUCUUAACUCCAAGAUCCAUUCAUUGGUUCAACAAAUAUUUAUUGAGAAAUGACUAUGAACCAGGCCCCCUGAAAGAUAUUGCAGGUAGGAUAACUAAUAAGACAGAGGAGUGGUGGACACGAACGAGAAGGUUAAUACUAUAGAAGGUGGUGCUGGGUUCAUGUCCCAUAACAGAGAUUGAAGCCAGGAUGAAGGAGGCUUCCUAGAGGUGCUAUCAGCCUGUGAACUGAUUCCUAAAGGGUGAGUUGGGAUGAGCCAGGUGGAGAGGGAGGUGUAGACAAGGAGGCUGGAAGGUUACACUGGGACCCGAUAAUGAAGGUGCUGAAUUAUCCUGCUAAGGGAUUUGUUCUGUAACACAAGUAAUGUGAAUCCCUGUGCCCAGCACAAAUAAUAAGUUCCUGGUAAAUCUUAUCCUUUAUUAUUUAUUCUAUGGGCCAUAGGAAGUCAGUGAAGGAUUUUAAAUGGUGUGUGUAUGUCCAGGUAGGGGCUAUUGACAUAAUGAGAUUUGCAUUUUGCAAGGUCCCUUUGGCUACAAGGAAGAAAACAGAUUGUAGAGGAUCGAUACUAGAAGUAGUGAGGCAGUGCAGGAGCCUGAGCGGGUGAUCUGACCAAAUGUGUUGGUAGCUGGGGUGGGAGAGUGGCCAUAGUGAAGGGAGAAAAGUGGUCCAGUGUUACAGAUGGGAUGGGAUGGGGUGAAGAAAAGGACAUGUCAGGGAUGACACUGGGUUUCCUAGUUGAGCAAAGCAUCUGUGUGGGUGCCCUUCCCCAACAUAGGAAACAUCGGGGAAGGGGAGGGAGAGAAAGGAUGCUUUCCGUGUGUGAAAUGUCCAGCUUUAGUGCCUGUGGGACAUGUGGGCUCCUGGGCUGAAACUAAUGAGAAAAUCUGUGCUAGAAAUACACCUUUGGGAAGUUGGCAGCCUUUCGAGAGUAAUUAAAUCCACAGGAGGUGAUGCAAUGGCCCUGAGAGGAGGGAAGAGGGGCAGGCCUAAGGAGGAACCCUGAGGAGGAAGAGAUCAGGGCUUCAGGGAAGCAGGAGAGGGUGUCUUACAGGAGCCAAGGGAGGGGGUGUUUCAUGGAGAGGAAACCACGUUUCGCUGGAAAUUCAAAUGAGAUUAAGAAUUAAGAAUCAAAAUUCUCUUUACAUCAUUCCCCUAGUCAUUGAACCUACUACUUGCCUUCAUGGGAAUCUCUUGCCCUUUCUUCUCUCUGUUCUUACCAUUUUCUACUUGCUCUUGACCUCAUUUGCCUCCUGAGGUGGCUUAAAUCCCAUAACCAGCCGUUUUAAUAAUGGCCCAACCACUGUUGGCCGACAGUUCUAAAUCAGUGCGUGUUCACCUACACUGACCCUGUGUGCUGAUCAAGAUCCUUUUCUCUCCUUUUUCUCACUUCUGAUCAACCUUGAUGACAUUCAGCACAGCACCUGUUUCAGAUACUUUCUCCUUUCCUCAAAACAGGAAUCCCCACUCAACUCUCAGACCCAGUAAAUAGCCUCACCUCCUGUUGACCAGGAAGAUGGAGGCCCACCAUGUGAGCUUUCUUGGAAACGUCCCCCUUUACACUUUAAGACUUCUUUUAUCUUCUCCAAUUCCUUCCCUCUUCCUAUAGAUUCAAAGCAAAAGGAGUCCUCCUCUCCAAAUCUAACUUACGUGGACCUUGGCCCCUGUCCACCAGUCACCCCUGGCCUGUCUCUAAAGAUGGACUUUCGCUCUACACUGGCCACUGCCUUCCAGCCUAGAAGCAAAUGCAAGUCUUUUGUGGCAGGGACGGUCCCUGGAAUCCCCACCUCCUGGUGUUCAGGACCUUGUGUGCAGGUGUGACCUGUGACUUGCUUUGUAACAACUAGAAUGCGGCAAAGGCGACAGGAUGUACGUGAUUGUGUGGAUGUGAUUAAGGGACAUUGUGCCUGUCUUGGGAGCACUCUCUCUCUUUCGGGCCUUGAGCCGCCACAUUGGGAAGUCUCGGGUCGCAAGGAGCUCACAGUGGCCUCCAGCCAGUGGCCUUCAAAACUGUGCUCCUGGGGCUUCCCUGGUGGCGCUGUGGUUGAGAGUCCGCCUGCUGAUGCAGGGGACACGGGUUCGUGCCCCGGUCCGGGAAGAUCCCACAUGCCGCGGAGCGGCUAGGCCCGUGAGCCAUGGCCGCUGAGCCUGCGUGUCCGGAGCCUGUGCUCCACAACGGGAGAGGCCACAGCGGUGAGAGGCCCGUGUACCGCAAAAAAAAAAAAAAAACUGUGCUCCUUGGUCCAACAAUCCACAAGGAAUCAAAAGCUGCUCAAAGCCACAAAAUCCUGGAAAUAGAUCCUCUCCCCCGCCCCGCCCCUCUGGAGCAUCAGAUGAGACCGCAGCCCCAACUGGUACUUUGACCACAGCUCUGUGAGGCCGUGACGCAGAGCACCCAGCUCGGCCUGGACUCUCGAUCCGCAGAAACUGUGAGGUAACAAAUGUCACUGUUGUAAGCUGUACAUAUGUGGUAAUGCUGGUGACCAGCACUCCAUGAGAUGAGUAACCUGUACCCUACAAAGGCCCUUCCCUAAAACCUCUGGGCUCUGAAACAACCACCCUUCAUUGCAAUAGCUCUUGAAAGGUAAGUAACCCACAUUCCCAGCACCCACCCUCUGGGCGGUUUAAAACGGCCUCAAAUCUUGGUCAUUCCUCCCCAGGGGAGGUGGAGUGUAUUUCCCCACCCCCUUGAAUCUGGGUCUGACGUGUGUCUUGCUUUUACUAACACAAUAUUGUUGAAAUGAUGUUGUGUAACUUCAGAGAUUCAAGAGAUGUACAGCUUUGACUUUAUGUACUUGGGACCCAUCUUCCCGGAAUCCUGCUGCCCCAUGAGAAGCCCAGGUCUUGUGGAGAAACUACCUAUGGGGAGGAAAACCAGGGUCCUGGGUCACCAGCCCCAGCUGAGCGCCCACCAGCAGCCAGCACUAAGUGCCAGGGUGAGAGGGGCCAUGUGGGAAAGUUCCUGCCGCAUCGAGCCUCUCAGGGCCCCAGCCCCAGCCGACACACGUAUGCAGCUGGAGAACCACCAGCGAGCGGGGCCUCAUCAACCUACAGAAACGCAAUGAUGAUGCUAAUUUUUAAAACGCUGUAAGGUUGUUUGUUAAUUAGCAGCAGAUAACUGAAACACUCCCAAUGCUAAUCUUCACUUCUCUGGUGAAGCAGUUCCUUUAAGGAUCAACAGUGACCUCAGCUGAAAAUUCGGGGGCCUCCUCUUCGUCUUUUUCUUUCUGGACGGCUCCAAGGCAUGUGGCGCUCCUGAAACUCCUGCUCUUGGUGCUUCCGUCUCCUUUCAUUUCCAUGGCCUCCCCUAGGGCUCAGCCUCUUCCCCUCAUCCCUUGAAUGUGGAGGUUCCCAAGGUGAUGUGCUUGGACAUUCUCUAUAAACUCUCUUCUCGGUGGUUUCCUCCAAUCUCAUUGCUUUAAAUGUCACCUGUGGGGCUUCCCUGGUGGCACAGUGGUUAAGAGUCCGCCUGCCAAUGCAGGGGACACAGGUUCGAGCCCUGGUCCGGGAAGAUCCCACAUGCCGCGGAGCAACUAAGCCCAUGUGCCCCAAGUAUUGAACCUGCGCUCUAGGGCCCACAAGCCACAACUACUGAAGCCCGCGCACCUAGAGCCUGUGCUCUGGAACAAGAGAAGCCACCGCAAUGAGAAGCCUGCGCACCACAACGAAGAGUAGCCCCCGCUUGCCACAACUAGAGAAAGCCUGUGCGCAGCAACGAAGACCCAACGCAGCCAAAAAUAAAUAAAAAUAAAUUUAAAAAAUAAAAAUAAAUGUCACCUCCAUACAGAUAAUGUCCAAACCUGCAAGAGGCAUAAUGAUUAGAGUCUCCAAGUCUGGAAAUGGGCCAGACAGGGCUUUAAUCCUGCAUCUGCUGGUGACAUUGACGCCAACCAUGAAAGUGGUUUAACCCCUCUAAACCUCCAUUUUCUCUUCAAUCUGGAUAAUAAUAGCAUCUUGCUCAUGGGGACAUCACUCUAGCCUGCCCCAGCACGAGUACUCGGUAAAGCAGAGCUUUCCCAUGCUUUACAGUUUUUCAUUCCACUGCUUACGUAAGAAAAAAUACUUGUACGCAAGCCAGGGUAAGUGGAGGUGACUGAGGUCAGAAAGAAUUGGCCGCAGGGCUCUGGCCUCUCCAGCCCCUGCCCAGCCCCACCCUAGGGGCUGACGACUAUUCAGGCCCUCCCCCCACUGCUGGCACGCCAGUGGGAAGCGGGGCAGUAAAUGGUAACAAUUUUUAUCCUCAUCUCUGGUCCUGACAUCUCUCCAGGGCUCCAGCGCCACCGUCACAAUGCUGCCGGGUUCCACCCACGUCCUCUACCCCAAAGACCAGAGGGUGAUUCUCGAAGCGAGGUCCCUGGUCAGCAGCCUCAGCCUUACCGGAGAACCUGUUAGACCUGCAAAUUCUCAAGCCCCGGCUCAAACCUACCGAAUCAGCACCUCUGGGGAUGGGCCAGCGCUCGAUCGGUAUGUUAAUGACCCCCCACCAGGUGAUUCUGAGAACCAGCGACCAAUAGUGAUUUUAGCUGAGUAGCUAUGCCUGCUCCGCCACCCCGCCCCUAGGUGGGUUCAUUAGUCCCACUACCUCCCGGCUACGUGGGCUCAAAACCUCAGAUCCAUCCUUGAUGCCUGCACCUACCAGCCGGCCCUGUCUAACCAGUCAUCAGCCCUGACUUUCCCUCGUCACUCAAAUCCUUCUCCUCUCUGUCCCCACCGCCAUGCCGCCAGAGGAGGAGCUGGCCAGCCUCCGCUAAACCAAGUCACUCGAAAUCCAAUUUGACUGCAACCAAUUUCACCAACAGCCAGUUAGGUUAAAGCAAGUUUAAUUUAAAAAUUAAAUUAAUUAAAAUUGGAUUCACAUUUAAACAAAUAUUAAUUAAACUGUAACUAAAAUUUAAUUCUGUAAUUAAAGUGAAUUUAAAUUUAUAAUUUUAAAAUAUUAAUGAAAUAGAAAUUUAAUUUCAUUUAAACAUUAAUUUCAUAGUCAAAUCUGCCCAUUAUUUUCCUUGUGACCUGUACCACUUCUAAAUUCACUCUGUCCUUACUCCCCCAGAUGGUUGAUAAAUAUCUAAUUCUAUUCUUCUAGUUGCUCUACCCUUUAAUUUUCUUACAUUCAGCUUCCGAAUUGUCUGGAGUUUGCUGUGAUUCUUGGUGUAAAGUGAAGUUCACAUCACCUGCGGGAGGGAAAAGGACUCCUCGUUACGAUGCUAAGUUCUGGGGUCUCGUUCCCCCACAGGCCUCGCGUAAAGAUCAAAGGCGAUAAUCAGGCAUCUGGGUGGUUGUCCCGUUUUCUACGUGGGAUGGACUUUCUCUAGAGCUUCUCAGUAGUAGCUUGAAAUGGGCUUAUUUGCUAGAAACUCAGGCAUACGUGUUCUUGGACAGGUUCCCCUGGAAAUCCUUAAACGCUCAAGACUGCGUGCUGGGAAAUACACCUUCUGGGUCCUUCCAGGGAGGGAGGAGAUGGACAAAUGUCACUCUAGACCGGAGAUGGUAGGCCCGCCCUCUGCCUGGACAGAUGCCCGGGGAGCAGGGGCUGGGGAGACAGACGAGGGUCGGAAAUCAGGGGCUGCCCCUCCCACUGCUGGUCCUGAGGGGAAGCAUCACAGAGACAAGGAAGCCGGAGCCAGGAGGGACGUACGGGGCGGGUCCAGGCCACACGGGCUGCGGCAGCCGCGGCAGGAGGCAGGGCCAUCUACUGAGAGCUCCGCUCCUGUGCAAGGAGGUAGGGUGCCCUCGUGCACCGGGAGAGCAAGGGCACCGAGGACAGAGCACUGGGCCUGAGCCGGGGGCUGCCGUGGUGCCGGCGAAGAGGACCUGCUGAAGGGGCUUCUCGGGCUUGAUGGAGAUGCAGCUAAGACCCAGAGCCGCCUCCGCUGUGCUCCAGGACCCUGGGGGCCGGGUCGGCAGGGGUACCCCCAGCAGCUGAUGCACCAAGAGGAACCGGAAGUCCUCCCAACCCCAGCUUCAUGGCAGCUGGCGGCCCUGGGGCCGGGCAAGACCAGAGGGCUAAGGAGGACAGCAAGAGGGGCCGGACUAGACACGCCUCCCUCUGUGGACCCGCGCCACACCCCAGAUGCCACGCCCGGAGGACUAGGGGCAGGAGGGGGCAGCUGAGAGACUGACACUUCCCAAAGAGAAGGAGUCGCCUGGAAAAGACCCCUGAAAUCUGUAGACACAGAGGACCCCCGACCGCCCAGCAGCACCCAGAGGGUCUGGCUGGACGAGGGGCAGGAAAAGAACUGCGCAUCUUUGCACAUCUGAGCAGUGGACGCGUGUAAAUCAGCAGCCCCGCUACCUGAUCAAAGUAGAAGAGACAUCUAGAAGCUUGUAGAAAUGCAGAAAGGUCUGGAAAUUUCCUACCAUAAAUGAACUGUUCAUUUUCCCCCAUAAAAUAGUGCCAACUGGCCUAAAUUAAUUUUCAACUUAUUAAAUAAUGAAUAAAUAAAAAUGCAAAGUAUGAGUAAUGUAUGAAAAAUACUGGUUCAACAAAACCCAUCUAUCCAUAGGCCCAUUUAUAAUAAAGGACACACCCUCAUCCUGCUGGCCCUCCCACCAUCCCCCCCAGCCCCGCCCACUUGAUCCCCCCAGAGGGCCCACUCUCCUGGGUUCUGCCCCAUCAUUCCCUCGUUUUUCUUAACAGUUUUACCACGUGUUUGUUUCUCUAAACAAUAGACAUAGUUCAGCUUUGUAAGGCUUUCUUUUUUGUUUGUUUGUUUUUGCUGUACGCGGGCCUCUCACUGCUGUGGCCUCUCCCGUUGUGGAGCACAGGCUCCGGAUGCGCAGGCUCAGCGGCCAUGGCUCACGGGCCCAGCCGCUCCGCGGCAUGUGGGAUCUUCCCGGACCGGGGCACGAACCUGUGUCCCCUGCAUCGGCAGGCAGACCCCCAACCACUACGCCACCAGGGAAGCCCUGUAGGGCUUUCUUAACUUGCUAUAGGUAGCCUUUGCUGUAUGUAUUCUUUGGGGACUUUUUUUUAAUUGAAGUAUAGCUGAUUUAUAAUGUUGUGUUAGUUUCUGGUGUACAACAAAGUGAUUCAGUUAUACAUACAU